rnacentral:rRNA from 1 species
GACGAACGCUGGCGGCGUGCUUAACACAUGCAAGUCGAACGGAAAGGCCCUGCUUUUGUUGGGUGCUCGAGUGGCGAACGGGUGAGUAACACGUGAGUAACCUGCCCUUGACUUUGUGAUAACUUCAGGAAACUGGGGCUAAUACCGGGUAUGAGCUCCUGCUGCACGGUGGGGGAUGGUAAGUUUCGGCGGUUGGGGCUGGACUCGCAGGUUCUCAGCUACAUUGUGGGGUAGUGGCUUACGAAGGCUUAGAAGGGUAGCCGGCCUGGGAGGGUGGCCGGCCACAUUGGGCCUGCGAGACGGACCAGUCGCCUACGGGCGGCAGCAGUGGGGAAUAUGGCGGAGUGGGCCGAAGUGUGAUGCAGCAGCGUCGCGAGCGUGAUGACGGGCUACGGGGGAUAAACCGAUUUGGACUGAGACGAAGCGUGCGUGACGGUAAUGGGUAAAGAAGCACCGGCUAACUACGUG